GCAGCCUUGGAGGAGUACUACAGUGACCUGCAAAGCAUGCCUGGUACCAUCAUGUCUUAAAUUGAGUAAGGCACUGAGAGAUCUACAUGGCUUGGCAGCUGUUCCUUCUGUCUCUCCAACUCAACCCACCUUACUGAGUUGCUCCUGUUUCUACUUCUGUUAGUGAAUGAGGGAUCAGUACUUUGCCCCCACAGUUUCUUCAGGAGUACCUUGUCCUAAAACAAAACCAAAUCUGGAAGGAGUAGAAUUUUCUGCUGGGACUUGGUAACAUUUCAUGGACAAGGAGGAUGUGACUCAUGCUGCUCAUGACUGCUGGAACCUAUAACCUCCUUUUCUCUUGGACUGAUACAAUGAUCUUCACUUUGAAAGAAGAAACAGAGACAUUUUUAACAGCAGAGAGACUUCACAAGUACUGGGAUGUUGAAAACCCAUCUCUGGCCCACCAGUGAAAAUAAUGACUCCUGCUAUUUUGGGUUCUGUGGAGCUAAGAUGAAGUAUCAAAAAAAGAUUCCGAUGUUUUCUGAUACCAUCGUGCUCCUUGGCAUAGGAGGGAUGAAUGGAACAGAAGCUCACAUGUGGAAGAUGACUGAUUUUUGUAGCAUUGCAGGCAGGAGCUGCCAGCAGGGAAGCUAAUACAUGAGGGGCUGAGGAGUGAGUGCUUGAGGAGGAAACCAUCUAGAUCUCUUAGACAGCUUAUUCCUCACUGCGCCCCCACAGAACUUGACCACACCACUCAAGGAUGGACUCUAUAACGUUUCUGUAAGCAAGAAUGCCUGCCAUGUGACUACAGAAGAAUCCAAGCAGCUGAGUUAAAAUUUUCAUUAUUUUUAAACAGUUGCAUAAGCCAUAAGUACUUUUCUUCUGGACUCUGGACCUGAUGGUUUGCAGUCACAGUGUUGGAUGGACAGUUACUUGCUGCAGGAUCUUCCAGGAUUAAAAUCACAUCUUACAAGGCUAAGAACUCCAAAGGCUAUGGCGAGGAACUGGUAGCUUUAUCUCAAUGUAGACUGCGAUGGCUUUGUGUGCCUUUGAAAUUGCCACGCUCUUCAAAGAAAAAGGAAGUGCUUUAAGUGUUUUUCCUUCUCCUUCAGCCAGGAGCCGCGUUUUGGAAUGAACUCAAGUUUGAGUAAAGGGAGUGUUCAAAAUUUUAAAAUGUUGUGAUAAAUACUGCAUGACAUCGGUGUAAAACAGGUGCCCGCUGUACACAGGACUGUGCUUUGCUUUGUGUCAGAUCUCUUGAACAUCAGAAGUUUCAGAUCGUUCUGGAAUCGGUUUUAUAAAUGAGGGCUGGACGACUCAAAAGUGCAAAGCAUAAUGGCAAUAGAAAACUGCAUCUCAGGAGCUGAACUUACGUCUUUUUUCUUUCUCACCCCCUCAUUUUUAUCUACAUUUAUCAUUAUUACCUGCAUAGAGCAAUAACGUUUUGAAGAAAUGCCUGAUUUUUGAUGCCUCAGUUAUUUGAUGUCUUUUUUCAAGACAUUUUACAUUUCAGAGAGUGAGUCAGACACUUUAAACAUCCAGACUGGCUGCUUAUACCUUUUCUGAGCUGUAUUUUUUGUCUCUGGAUACAAAGUAAAUUCCUUUAAUGGAUUUAUUAUCAAGAAGAUUCAAAAAAGCAUUAGCUUCACUCUUCUACUCUCUUGACUGCAGUUUAGCAUCUCACUCUGUGGAGGGUUUGAAAGGCAUGGAAAAUAUAAAAGGACUCUGUGCCACAAUUAGGAAACGUGGAUUUCUCCCUCGCAGAAACUUCUGCUGUGGACUCUUCUCCAUCUUGUGUCUGAUGCAAAGGCUUAUGCCUGCCCUGUGAGCUACUGCUGGAGGAUUAAGGGAGGACUGAGAUCCCCCAUUGACACCUUUAGAGCUUGAGACCAGUGAACUCUUCCUGUCUUUCAUAAACUAUGCUCUGUGUGACUUCUGAAGGUGCUCUGGAUACAAAUUGAAACUGAGCUAAUUUGGAUUACCAUUACUGCAGCGUCUAUUAGACAGCAGGCGACGCAGUCUCUGCUAUUCAAAGGCGAAGUGCUACGCCUCAGUGUCUCCCCUCAAAUCACCUCUGUAGACCAAAGCUACACAUCUGUCCUUCUGCCAAGUCUACGAAGCUCAUAGUUUCAGAAAACCGAUGCGCUCCCAUCCACUGAAAGGAAAACUGUGAGCUAAUAUCCUGUCUUCAUGCUACAAGAAUUUGUAGAUGAAAAAAGAUGCACCCCUUAUCUAUAAAAUGAUUGUUUGUUCUACAGUAUUUAUGACACCUCUCCAUUGCUAUCUCUUCCUAGGUUAUGGUAAACCAAGAUGAUGCUUUAUAUUUCUGCAUCAGUCUAGCCAUGGGAAAUUAGAUUUAGUAAACAGAGAAUCUUAAUAAUCUUAAUGUCCUUCUCAAAGAGAAAUGAAUCAAAUUAUCAUAAUGAUUAAAUUACAGUUUUGUUGUUUCGUAAAAGCACAACAAUAAAUAAGUGGGGACAUUGCCAAUACUUCAGACUCCACUGAAGAUUCGCUGGCAUGCCCAUGAGUGCCUUGGCAAACUGCAGCCAUUGUCCU
ensembl:lncRNA